UGGGGAAUUUUGCACAAUGGGGGAAACCCUGAUGCAGCGACGCCGCGUGAUUUAGAAGGCCUUCGGGUUGUAAAAAUCUUUUUUACGGGAUGAAAAUGACAGUACCGUAAGAAUAAGGUCCGGCUAAAUACGUGCCAGCAGCCGCGGUAAUACGUAUGGACCGAGCGUUGUCCGGAAUCAUUGGGCGUAAAGGGUACGUAGGCGGCCUAGUAAGUUAGAAGUGAAAUAAUAUAGCUCAACUAUAUAAAGCUUUUAAAACUGCUAGGCUUGAGAGAUGGAAGGGAAAGUGGAAUUCCUAGUGUAGCGGUGAAAUGCGCAGAUAUUAGGAAAGAUAACGGUGGCGAAGGCGACUUUCUGGUCAUCAUCUGACGCUGAGGUACGAAAGCGUGGGUAGCAAACAGG
rnacentral:rRNA from 1 species